UACGUAGGGCGCAAGCGUUGUCCGGAAUUAUUGGGCGUAAAGAGCUCGUAGGCGGUCUGUCGCGUCUGUUGUGAAAACUCGAGGCUCAACCUCGGGCUUGCAGUGGAUACGGGCAGACUAGAGUGCGGUAGGGGAGACUGGAAUUCCUGGUGUAGCGGUGGAAUGCGCAGAUAUCAGGAGGAACACCGAUGGCGAAGGCGGCAUCCUGGACUACUACUGACGCUGAGUGAGCGAAAGCCAGGGGAGCAAACGGG
rnacentral:rRNA from 1 species